rnacentral:rRNA from 1 species
AAUGAACGUUGGCGGCGUGGAUUAGGCAUGCAAGUCGCGCGACAAGGUUUUGUUAGCUUGCUAAUGAAACUGGAGGAGCGGCGAAAGGGAGAGUAACGCGUGGGUAUCUGCCUCUAAGCCUGGGAUAGCAGGGGGAAACUCCUGGUAAUACCGGAUAAUGUCUCCGGACCAAAGGUGUGAUUCCGCUUAGAGAUGGGCCCGCGUCCUAUUAGGUUGUUGGUGGGGUAAUGGCCUACCAAGCCAAAGAUGGGUACCGGGUGUGAGAGCAUGGCCCGGCUCACUGGGACUGAGACACUGCCCAGACACCUACGGGUGGCUGCAGUCGAGAAUCUUCCGCAAUGGACGAAAGUCUGACGGAGCGACGCCGCGUGCGGGAUGAAGGCCUUCGGGUUGUAAACCGCUGUCAGAGGGAGC